GAUGAAGAACGUAGCGAAAUGCGAUAAGUAGUGUGAAUUGCAGAAUUCAGUGAAUCAUCGAAUCUUUGAACGCACAUUGCGCCCCUUGGUAUUCCAUGGGGCAUGCCUGUUCGAGCGUCAUUUGUACCUUCAAGCUUUGCUUGGUGUUGGGUGUUUGUCUCGCCUUUGCGUGUAGACUCGCCUUAAAAUAAUUGGCAGCCGGCGUAUUGAUUUCGGAGCGCAGUACAUCUCGCGCUUUGCACUCAUAACGACAGCGUCCAAAAGUACAUUUUACACUCUUGACCUCGGAUCAGGUAGGGAAACCCGCUGAACUUAAGCAUAUCAAUAAGCGGAGGA
rnacentral:misc_RNA from 1 species